UAGGGAAUCUUCCGCAAUGGGCGAAAGCUUGACGGAGCAACGCCGCGUGAGUGAUGAAGGUCUUCGGAUCGUAAAACUCUGUUAUUAGGGAAGAACAAAUGUGUAAGUAACUAUGCACGUCUUGACGGUACCUAAUCAGAAAGCCACGGCUAACUACGUGCCAGCAUCCGCGGUAAUACGUAGGUGGCAAGCGUUAUCCGGAAUUAUUGGGCGUAAAGCGCGCGUAGGCGGUUUUUUAAGUCUGAUGUGAAAGCCCACGGCUCAACCGUGGAGGGUCAUUGGAAACUGGAAAACUUGAGUGCAGAAGAGGAAAGUGGAAUUCCAUGUGUGGCGGUGAAAUGCGCAGAGAUAUGGAGGAACACCAGUGGCGAAGGCGACUUUCUGGGCUGUAACUGACGAUGAUGUGCGAAAGCGUGGGGAUCAAACAGG
rnacentral:rRNA from 1 species